UGUGUGUGUGUGUAUAGAUAUAGAUAUAGAUAUAGAGAUAGAUAGAUAGAUAGAUAGAUAGAUAUAGAGUAUUGUAUAUAUAUAAUUUAUCUGUUUUCAGAUGAUGCACCACAGACCGGAGACUCUGACCGCACGUAUGAAGGACUUCAAGAAAGGAGAGACUCGGCACAAUACUCCAAACUCACCGUGUAUCAAAAUCUACACAGCUCUGAACCAAACUACAGCAACGUGACAACUUUAUCUGCAUGAUAAUUAUAUAAUGGAAAACACGAUAAGAGCGUUGGUAAAA